AUGAACGCUAGCGGCAGGCCUAAUACAUGCAAGUCGAACGGGAUCCAGAUCAAAGCUUGCUUUGGUUUGGUGAGAGUGGCGCACGGGUGCGUAACGCGUGAGCAACCUACCCUUGUCAGGGGGAUAGCCCGGCGAAAGUCGGAUUAAUACCGCAUGACAUCAUUGAGAGGCAUCUUUCGAUGAUCAAAGAUUUAUCGGACAAGGAUGGGCUCGCGUGACAUUAGCUAGUUGGUAAGGUAACGGCUUACCAAGGCUACGAUGUCUAGGGGCUCUGAGAGGAGGAUCCCCCACACUGGUACUGAGACACGGACCAGACUCCUACGGGAGGCAGCAGUAAGGAAUAUUGGUCGAUGGACGGAAGUCUGAACCAGCCAUGCCGCGUGCAGGAAGACGGCCCUAUGGGUUGUAAACUGCUUUUAUACGGGAACAAACGUCGGUACGUGUACCGGUCUGAGUGUACCGUAAGAAUAAGGAUCGGCUAACUCCGUG
rnacentral:rRNA from 1 species